rnacentral:tRNA from 2 species
GCUGCGGUGGUGAAAUUGGUAGACAUGCCAUCUUGAGGGGGUGGUGCCGAAAGGUGUAUGAGUUCGAGUCUCAUCCGCAGCA